rnacentral:rRNA from 1 species
AGUGGCGGACGGGUGAGUAAUGUCUGGGAAACUGCCUGAUGGAGGGGGAUAACUACUGGAAACGGUAGCUAAUACCGCAUAACGUCGCAAGACCAAAGAGGGGGACCUUCGGGCCUCUUGCCAUCAGAUGUGCCCAGAUGGGAUUAGCUAGUAGGUGGGGUAACGGCUCACCUAGGCGACGAUCCCUAGCUGGUCUGAGAGGAUGACCAGCCACACUGGAACUGAGACACGGUCCAGACUCCUACGGGAGGCAGCAGUGGGGAAUAUUGCACAAUGGGCGCAAGCCUGAUGCAGCCAUGCCGCGUGUAUGAAGAAGGCCUUCGGGUUGUAAAGUACUUUCAGCGGGGAGGAAGGGAGUAAAGUUAAUACCUUUGCUCAUUGACGUUACCCGCAGAAGAAGCACCGGCUAACUCCGUGCCAGCAGCCGCGGUACUACGGAGGGUGCAAGCGUUAAUCGGAAUUACUGGGCGUAAAGCGCACGCAGGCGGUUUGUUAAGUCAGAUGUGAAAUCCCCGGGCUCAACCUGGGAACUGCAUCUGAUACUGGCAAG